GACCAGGAGGAUGGGAUUCUUUACCUGGCCAGCCUGAAUCGCAUGUCUAAUCCUGCAUUGGGAGAGGCUGGGACCGAGAGUCCCUAGGUGAGAAGCUGUAGGAUAUCUGAGGCAGGAGACUGUGGGAGAAUGGAGAUUUCUCUCAGAGACCAAAGGCAUCCAUCAUGAGCCCUUUGCAUUGCCCUCAUGAAACUUGGGAGCAUGGAGACCCGAAGCAAAUAACCGUAAAGCUCACCACUGCUUUUGCUACAGAAAAAUGAAGAUAAUCAGAAUUUUUCCUCCCUAUCUCAUGACCCACUGGCACCUUUCUGAGUACUACUAAAGAAAGAGGAGAAGGUUCUCUACUCUCAAAUUCCCUCACCUACCUGCCAUUGAAUCAGUCUUUCCAAGGUUUGACUGCUAGCAAGGCACAUGGCCCUGCCCUGGAGACUCUUGCUUUCCAAGACCAUGGAAUAUUUGGCUAAAGAAGGAGCAAAAAAAGCUGGCUCUUGGUAGGAUGACCAGCUGUCCUGAUUUUCCUAGGACCGAAGGUAUUCUCAGAACAUGAGAGGUUCCUUUUUUCAAACCAGGAUAGUCCUGGGCAAAGCACGACAUGUUGGUUGCCCUACUAAACCUAUAGUUCCACACAUUAUGGUAUAAGUUUACAUCAUGUUGUCCUCAAAGUCUAGGGUUCUUAAGCUCAAAAGUCAAGAAUUGGACUUUUUCCCUGCAUUUUUCUCUAACACCCAUAUCCUAAGGAAGAAAAAAGAAG